rnacentral:rRNA from 1 species
UACAGAGGUCUCAAGCGUUGUUCGGAUUCAUUGGGCGUAAAGGGUGCGUAGGUGGCGCGCUAAGUCAGGUGUGAAAUUUCGGAGCUUAACUCCGAAACUGCAUUUGAUACUGGCGUGCUUGAGGACUGGAGAGGAGACUGGAAUUCAUGGUGUAGCAGUGAAAUGCGUAGAGAUCAUGAGGAAGACCAGUGGCGAAGGCGGGUCUCUGGGCCGAUACUGACGCUCAGGAGCGAAAGCGUGGGGAGCGAUCCGG